rnacentral:misc_RNA from 1 species
GAAAUGCGAUAAGUAAUGUGAAUUGCAGAAUUCAGUGAAUCAUCGAAUCUUUGAACGCACAUUGCGCUUGCCAGUAUUCUGGCGAGCAUGCCUGUUCGAGCGUCAUUUCAACCAUCAAGCUCUGCUUGCGUUGGGGAUCCGCGGCUGCCCGCGGUCCCUCAAAAACAGUGGCGGGCUCGCUAGUCACACCGAGCGUAGUAACUCUACAUCGCUAUGGUCGUGCGGCGGGUUCUUGCCGUAAAACCCCCAAUUUCUAAGGUUGACCUCGGAUCAGGUGGGAAUACCCGCUGAACUUAAGC